GCUGGACAGUGCCAUGCCUAUAGCCCAGCUACUUGGGAGGCUGAGGCAAUAGGAUUGCUUGAGUCCAGGAGUUGUGGACUGUAGUGCACUAUGCUGAUUGGGUAUCCACACUAAGUUUGGCAUAAAUAUGGUGACCUCCUGGGAGUAGGGAACCACCAGGUUGCUUAAAGAGGGGUGAGCUACCCCAGAACAGAAGCAAAAGCAGGGCAGAACUCCCAUACUGAUCAGUAGCAGGAUUGCACCUGUGAAAAACCUCUGCAUUCCUGCCUGCGCAACAUAAUGAAUCCUUGUCUCUU
ensembl:misc_RNA Metazoa_SRP Metazoan signal recognition particle RNA